GGGCCCGUAGCACAACGGCAGUGCAAGAGACUUUUAAUCUCUAGGUUCGGGGUUCGAAUCCCCGCGGGCUCACCA
rnacentral:tRNA from 1 species